rnacentral:tRNA from 1 species
GUGGGUGUAGCUCAGUUGGUUAGAGCACCUGACUGUGGAUCAGGAUGUCGGGGGUUCAAGUCCCCUCACUCACC